AGCUUUUUCUUCUUUUCUUGUUUGUUCAUUACCAUGUUUUGUCAUGUCGUGGUUACAAUAUGAUUAUUCUUUCGAGUGAAUCCAAGACUUACCAGCACCAAAAAGUGAUCUAAAUAUCAGUUUUAGAUUAUGGGUGUAUUUUAAGAUGUGAAUUUUUUUGAUAAGGUGAUGAAAAUAUCAUUUCUCUUCCUUCUCUCUUUUGAAGGAAUCGACAUGUUGCUAAAAGAAGCAACAUCAAUUAACUGCUAAUGGUGUGCUAUGUGUCGAGAUGGCCAACCUGCUUCUCAUUCACCUGAUUUGCGAUGUUCAUCUUGAGAUUCUAAGUGAUUGCUCUGACAGAGGAAUUGCUUGCAACUGCGAAGCAAAAUGAGAUUUCUAGAUCAGAUAUUGGGGCUAGUAUUAGUGCACCCGCUGCUCAAUUGAAGG